CACGUAGGGGGCAAGCGUUGUCCGGAUUUAUUGGGCGUAAAGAGCUCGUAGGCGGCUUGUCGCGUCGAUCGUGAAAACUCACAGCUCAACUGUGAGCUUGCGGUCGAUACGGGCAGGCUCGAGUUCGGUAGGGGAGACUGGAAUUCCUGGUGUAGCGGUGAAAUGCGCAGAUAUCAGGAGGAACACCGGUGGCGAAGGCGGGUCUCGUGGGCAGUAACUGACGCUGAGGAGCGAAAGCGUGGGGAGCGAACAGG
rnacentral:rRNA from 1 species